UGUUUUCCAGGCGAAUUAAAGCUGAAUGAAACUUGUCAACGAAAUGAGCAGUAUUCCGUGACAUCUGGGUCUGUUUGUCAGAACGAUACCUGCGUCUUGCCCCCUGAUGACAAACCUCAAUCGUCUAUACUCGAUCAUAAAUUAAAUAACUUUGAAGGCAUGACAUUUGGAAAUCUUUUUGGUGGACUCGUUCUAAACAUAAUUCUAACUGCUAUAGCAAUUACUAUCUUCCAUAAUGCACGACAGAAGAAAACUAACAC